UUAGUGAUGUCAUGUAUUUUUGAGCUAGUCUGUAUUUGAUGUCAGUGGAUGUAUAUAAACAUGGUUGUCUUAACGCUAGCAAUAUCAUUACAACCAUGAAGUCUGCAGUACUUGUCUUCGUCUUGCUUGUAGCAUGUGUUGGGGCCCAGCGGUUCGAGAAUUUCUGCCCCCAGCACAAAUGUCCAUUGAACAGUCGUUCCAGUUUCGACCAAUGCUAUACUGAUACUGAUUGUUGCAUAGGCAAAUCUUGCUGUGUCGACCCUUUCAGCUGCUACCUGGAGUGCGUCGAUACGAACCCCAUCCGGAGUGGAUUCAAUAACAGAUUCUAAUAUCCAUGGACAUUGUGGAAGGGUCUUCCCUGGACACUAUUUUUUCAAUAGCACGUCAAGAAUAUGUGUCUUCACUACAUUGAUUCUACGUGUUUGCCAAUAAAAUUGUUUACAUCUUG